CAAGGGGUGACAGUAUCCCCAGGGGGGUGACAGUGUCCCCAAGGGGUGACAGUGUCCCCAGGGGGUGUCAUUGUCCCCAAGGGGUGUCAUUGUCCCCAAGGGGGGGUGUCAUUGUCCCCAAGGGGUGUCAGUGUCCCCAGGAGGAGUGUCAGUGUCCCCAGGGGGGUGUCAUUGUCCCCAGGGGGGUGACAAAGCCCAGCCGGGUGACAAAGCUCCGGUUUAUUUACAAACUGCUGGGGGGAGGUGGCACCGUCCCUGUCCCCUCUGUCCCCUCUGUCCCCUGUGAGGCCUCGGCCUGGCAGGAGCGGUGUCACCUCCCGAUGUCACCUCCCGAUGUCACCUCCGGUGGCACCUCCUGGUGGCACCUCCUGGGUCACAUCUGUGGUGUCCCCAAUGCCACAUCCGUGAUGUCCCCAAUGUCACAUCUCGGUGUCUCUGAUGUCACUCCUGUGGUGUCCCCAGUGUCACAUCCUGGGUGUCCUCGAUGUCACUCCUGUGGUGUCCCCAAUGUCUGUCACAUCCAUGGUGUCCU
rnacentral:lncRNA from 1 species